ensembl:lincRNA Snhg12 small nucleolar RNA host gene 12
AGACGGCCUGUCAGGCUCCUAACACUAAGGUAAUUGCUGGCUAAGACAGCCUGACCCUCCGGUUUCCCUUUCCCAUCGGAUCUUGACGCUGGUCUUGGUGGUCGUUAAGGAGGAAGAGCACCCUGAAGCUGGCCUCACAGCGAUGCAGUCUGCUGUAGAGCAGNNNNNNNNNNNCAGGCCAGACUCAGACAUGCCUGGGCUUUGAAGUGGGAAAACUUGAGAACUGAUCAGUAUUGCUGAGUAAUGGCUUACUUUCAUGGUUUUUUUUUUUUAAGGGCCAUGUAACCAGUGAAGCAGCCAUUAUAUAUGAUUUGGUCUACACUUGUUGGAAAAAUUCCACAAGAGGAUCUCCUGGAAGCUAGCAGAAGUUUUUGGCUUGUACAUUGCCAGGCAGCCAUUGGAAUCGGAGCUGCAGUCAGAUUAAGGCNNNNNNNNNNNCAGCCUGGCCUACAUUGAGAAACCUCAUUUUGGGAAAGUGAAAUACUUUGUCAAUUAACAUGCAGUUGGUUCAAUAAAGACUUUUGGAAAGUG